GAUUACUUAAGCCACGCGUACAGAAACUUUUUAGAAUGAAAGAGUUUGUUCGUUUGGCUCGAGUUAUGC
rfam:Anopheles gambiae str. PEST whole genome shotgun sequencing project, whole genome shotgun sequence.